rnacentral:misc_RNA from 1 species
GAUGAAGAACGCAGCGAAAUGCGAUAAGUAAUGUGAAUUGCAGAAUUCCGUGAAUCAUCGAAUCUUUGAACGCACAUUGCGCCCCCUGGUAUUCCGGGGGGCAUGCCUGUCCGAGCGUCAUUGCAACCCUCAAGCGCGGCUUGUGUGUUGGGCUUCGUCCCCCCGUGGACGUGCCCGAAAGGCAGUGGCGGCGUCCCAAAUGGUGCCCGAGCGUAUGGGAACUCUCUUCCGCUCGAACCGGCCCAUUCGGCGCUGGUCGAACCCCAAUUUUUUUUUACCGGUUGACCUCGGAUCAGGUAGGGAUACCCGCUGAACUUAAGCAUAUCAAUAAGCGGAGGA